UGCAAAAGGUGUCCACACAGUGAGAAAAAUGUUUAAAGUCUUAUUACUCAUGGUGGCUCUCACUGGUGGAUCCAGCUAGAUGGACAGAUAUUGGCUGUAUGGAUCAAUGUGAAAUCUGCUGAAUGAUGGUUACCACUCUAACCUUUUUUACCUGCUUCUAUUGUGGGCUGGUUAUGGCAAGCAGAUUAUGUUCAUAUGCCCUGGAAAGGAAAACAAAGCAGUUUUUGUGACAGAGGCUUUGCUAUGACAUAAUUAAAGAUGCAGUGGGGUUUUCUAACCUAUGUUGUGCCACAAUCUGCAUUUAAGGGCCGAGUCUUCACUAUAUAAGAACGUACAGAACAGCUGUGGCUACUAAAGGACAAUUCACAUAGACAGCUUUUAUGAAGCAUCUUUUAGUUAGGCAUGCGCUUCUAUUUUCACCAGUGUUUUAAUAUAUGCCAGCUGUGAGAUGCACUGUAAAAACGUUCAACUGUCUGACCUGCUGCACAUUUUACAUGCAUGUAAGUGAAGCAUACACACUAUAGAAACUCUGUAGAAAUCCAUCAAGUCCAAAAUACAUUUUGUUUAAUUGUAUUAAAAUAACAAAUUUAUUUACAUAAUACUUUGCAAUAGUCAGUUUUGCACUUUACUGAAGGUCAAAUCGCCUCUCCUGAAUUUUUUACUGCACUUUCUCUCUCUCAUGACCUUCCUGUGAUGCUCAUUUAGGCCCACUCUAGAAAGAUGAGUUUAUUAUUAUCAAAAGCUCUAGUAACUGUACAUACAUCUACAUAUAUCACUGUAUAUCUGUAACUAUAUACAGUGACUGUAAUGGUGUGACUGUUUUUCACUCUUGGAGCUUUUGUGAAUUAAAUUGUCUAUAUAAUGCUCUCUGACAGGUUUAAUUCUCUGAUGAUACGUAACGAUUGAUUAAAAACAGACUUUUCAACCCAUUAAACAAUGUUGUUGCUUGUAAUGUCAUCAGACAUACAUAAUUAGUAGGCUAGGUAGUGACCUAUGAGUUGUUAGUUCAACUGAUAAAAAUACAAAGUGUGAGUUCGUAUAUGUUUUCAAUAAAAUAAAAUACAGUUCUCGUACUGUUUUUGUUGCAAGCCUAGAAUUUUCAAUAUAGCACAAAACUUGUAUUGGGCGAGCGGAAACAUAUCUUGUGUAUUUGGCCCCAGUGCCUGGCUUGGGACGCUGCAUUAUAUUCUUUAUGUAUUCUAUCAUUAUUUAGUUUAUCCUCUUGUGUGUUUUGAUUGUUUAUUUGGACUAUAACCAAUAUAAAAACGUAUACCCUUGUCUCCACGUUUAUUACACUGCCGCUAGCAUAUCAGUGAAAAUUUGUCUUCUGUAAAUUCUGUCAGUCAGCUGGUUAAUUUAUAAAAUACUAAAAAUCAAUGUAAAAUGUAAUGUAAGUGAAACCUAAUGUUAUGUCAAAAACAUAACAAAAAUAUUAAGGUGCUACACGGUGCACAUUCAGUUCUUAAAGAGAAUGAGAUGAGCUGAUCUGAUAUCGCAGCAGCACAUUGAAAAACACCUCUUUAAACACAUAAGUUCUUCAAAUCCUGCCCCUUUUUACAUCUGCAAUGCUCUAUGCCAUGUUACCGACUAGGUUGGUUAUCAUGAAGAUCUAAACAUAUAAUACAUAUAUAAU